UGUAUGGUGAUUAACAUAACAAUAAAAUUUUAAAAAAGCAAAAACUAACGAUGUAAUGUAUGAUUAACAAUAAAAUUUUAAAAAGUAAAAAAAAGAAACAAAUGAUCUAUAUUAUUUCAGGAUCUCAAAAUUGUUUAUUAAACACAUGGAAAUUUAUGUUUGAGAAUUUCUCCCUUCCAAAUAUAAUUUAUUACUGAGUUCCUGAAGGGUAAUACAAUAUCAUUACUUAUUCAAUACAUAUAAUGAAUAUACACUUGCUAUAUUGUCAUAAGACACUAAAAACUAAAUUUUUUUUUUUUUAAAGAUUUUAUUUAUUUUUUUUGACAGAGACACAGCGAGAGAGGGAACACAAGCAGGGGGAGUGGGAGAGAGAGAAGCAGGCUUCCUGCUGAGCAGGGAGCCCGAUGAGGGGCUCGAUUCCAGGACACUGGGAUCAUGACCUGAGCCAAAGGCAGAUGCUUAACGACUGAGCCACCCAGGCACCCCCAAAACAGUUAAGUUUUGAUGCUUUCAACAUUCACUGUCUUUGAGGUUUAAAACUAGUUACCAUGUUCUCUUAUCUAUGGAUUAAGUUACCUGCAUCAACCACAGUCCAGAAGCAGAUGAUCCUCCUCCUAACAUAUCAUAAGGUCAGUAGUAGACUAACACUACAUCACAAUGCCUACAUCACUCACCUCACUUAAUUUCAUCAUGUAGGUAUUUUAUCAUCUCACACAUCAUCACAAGAAAGGGGAGUACAGUACAAUAAGGUAUUUUGAGAGACCAUAUUUAUAUAACUUAUAGAAUAUUAUAAUCAUUCUAUUUUGUAAUUAUUGCUGUUAAUCUCUCACCUCGCCUAAUUUAUAAAUUAAACUAUCAUAGAUAUGUAUGUAUAAGAAAAAACAGUGUAUACAGAGUUCAGUAUUAUCCGUGGUUUCAGGAACCCACUGGGAAUCUUGGAAUGUAUCACCUGCAGACAAAGGGCCAGGGGGCUGGGGGGUAUUACUGUAUUUUUAUGUAGAUUGUCCAACAGUACUUAAAGCUAUGUCCACAUUAAAAUGUUUUUAUGGUUAGUUUUUACAUUUACUACCCUUUUGGUGGGUGGGGGGGAUAGAUGAAAUAGGAGAUGGGGAUUAAGCAGUACACUUGUGAUGAGCACAGGGUGAUGUAUUGAAUUGCUGAAUCACUGCAUUGUACACCUGAAACGGACAGAACACUGUAUGGUAACUAUAUUGAAAUUAAAAUAAAAACUUAAUAAAAAUUUUACUACCCUUUUCUUAUGGACACAGAACAUAGAGAGUAUACAAAUCAUGACUACACAGUUCAAUAAAUUUCAAUCAAGUAAACAUACCCAUGUAAUCAACUAUCACCUAGAUAAAAAUAGAAGACUGCAGAAACCCUUCUUGCAACCUUCCCAGUCACUAUCCCCCUUAAAUUUUAACAUCAUAGAUUAGUUUCGCCUGUUAUUUUUAACUUUACAUAGAAUUAUACAAUAUAUACCUUUUAUCUCGUUUCUUUUAUUCAACAUGUUUGUAAAACCUAUCCAUGUUGUAUGUAGCUCAUUCUCAUAAAAUUUUAGAGUAUCUACAAAACUAAAGAUUCUUUAUUUGUAUCUUCCUAUGUUCUAUUUACACUAGCUUGUAAAAAUAUGAUCACAAAGAAAUUAAAAACUGGUGAGAAAAAUAAUCAGCAACACUUCUCUAACGUCAUCAUGUAAGGAAACUUGUAUAGAUAAUCUUAGCUGACAGCCAGCAUCCACUGCCAGAUGUUACUAAAGACCUUCACAGCCCCACUGGCCCUCCUCAGAAUUGUCCAGCUGCUGAAAUUCUCAGGAAACGGGUUUAGAAAGAGGAGAAGGUGGCUUCUGCCAUUGAGUGAAGACUCAAGGACGGUUUGCAGAUUUUGAAGCUAUGUAAGAGAUUCAAAAAUAUUUACUGAUCUUGAAGAGAAGAUGAAAGGUUGAAGAGAAAGUAUAAAUAGGAGCUAAGCACAUGGCUGGGAACCACCAACCACCAAUUUUUUAAGUCUUGCGAGAGAAAAAAAAAAAAAAAGAAUUGAUGAAGCAGAAGCUGUG